rnacentral:tRNA from 1 species
GGGUAUGUAGCUCAGUGGUACAGCACCUGCCUGGCAAGCAUGAGGCCCUGAGUUUGCUUCCCAGCACCA